AACGCACAUUGCGCCCGCUAGCAUUCUAGCGGGCAUGCCUGUUCGAGCGUCACUAAGCACCCCUCGGGCCCCGUCGCCCGGCGUUGGGAGCUUGCGGGGGCUGGCCCAGCCCGCCCCCGCAACUCCUCAAAUCCAGUGGCGGAGCCGGGCCGGUCUCCCGGGCGCAGUAAUCCAAUUCCUCGCCUCCGGAGCCGGCCUCGGCCCCCAGCCGUUAAACCACCACUCCUUAUACAGGGCUGACCUCGAAUCAGGUAGGAGUACCCGCUGAACUUAA
rnacentral:misc_RNA from 1 species